GAUGAACGCUGGCGGCGUGCCUAAUACAUGCAAGUCGAGCGAACAGACGAGGAGCUUUCUCCUCUGACGUUAGCGGCGGACGGGAGAGUCACAUGUGGAUAACCUACCUAUAAGACUGGGAUAAUUACGGGAAACCGGAGCUAAUAACGGAUAACAUGUUGAACCGCAUGGGGCAACAGUGAAAGACGGUCUUGGUGUGAGUUAUAGAUGGAUCCGCGUCGCAUUAGCUAGUUGGUAAGGUGAAGGCUUACCAAGGCAAGGAUGCGAAGCCGACCCCAGGGGGUGGUCGCCCACCCUGUAACUGAGACUCGUUCGCGACUCCUGCGGUAGGCCGCGGUCGGGACUCUUCCGCAAUGGGGGAGUGCCUGACGUAGCACCGCGGCGGGAGUGAUGAUGGUGUUCGGAUCGUUAAGCUCUGUUAUUAGUGGGGAACAAAUGUGUAAGUAACUGUGCACGUAUUGACGGUACCUGGUCAGUAAGCCCCGGCUAACUACGUG
rnacentral:rRNA from 1 species